UCUGGAUAAUGGAGCAAGGAGGGAAUUUUUGAGAUAUUCCCCCAAAAGAGGAUUUUCAAAUGAGUAAAUUCUUCCAGGAAUUCACAGCUGAAGCAGUGCAAGACUAAGACUCAAACCACAGUGAUGCAUGUUCAGGAGCGGCAGUUGACUUCAAAAGGCUAUCAAAAAAGGGAGGCAGCAUUAAAUCAGCAGAUUGUAGCUCACAAACAUAAAACUCAAGAUAUUGCUGCCUUCACUUCACCACUGAACCAGGAUGGGCUUUUAGCCAAAUGGAACUUUGUCUUUUUAAGUCAUCUCAUAUAAACCCUUCCUAAAGAACCCCCACUUUUCAUUCACAUUUUUCAGUUUUAAUUUUUAUAUCAAUUUCACUCAUAAUUUUCAUCAAAUUUGGAAAAUUAUCCCUUUUGAAGUGUGUGUGUGUGUGUGUAUACAUAAAAAACUGGUUGGGACUGUUCUCUGCUUGCCCAUAUUGAAUAUAAUCAGGUCAUGAUCAUUGAUCCCUUUGCAAUCAUCAACUUUCGGUUCAGUGAUUAAUUCAUCUUUAUCCAUCACAAGGAGUUCCACAAUAUAGUUACGUUAGGUUUGGGGCAAUCUCUUUUGUGUUAGGAAACUUAUCAAUAAUUUUUAGAACCUCUAAUGAUGUUUUACUACUGUCUCCAUGAGUCCCUCCUGCAGAUAUCUUCCUGAAGUUACCCAUAACAACAGUUUUUCUUUCCACACAUUACAGAUAGAUGCUUAAGAUGAAACUCAUAGUUUCCUCUGGUGUGAUUUGUAACAGACACCCCACCAAUACCCCCUCUUGGGCUUUGUUAGUUAGCACAUGAAUGCACAGGCAUCCAAGAUCCAGUUGUUCUGAGUUAUCAAUAACUCUCUAAAACAGGUAAUGGUGUCUUUCAUGUAGCAUACCUCCCACCUCUUUACCCUCUCUAUCCU